UACGUAGGGUGCGAGCGUUGUCCGGAAUUAUUGGGCGUAAAGGGCUCGUAGGCGGUCUGUCACGUCGAAAGUGAAAACUCAGGGCUUAACCCUGAGCCUGCUUCCGAUACGGGCAGACUAGAGGUAUGCAGGGGAGAACGGAAUUCCUAGUGUAGCGGUGAAAUGCGCAGAUAUCAGGAGGAACACCGGUGGCGAAGGCGGGUCUCUGGGCCGAUAUUGACGCUGAGGAGCGAAAGCGUGGGGAGCGAACAGG
rnacentral:rRNA from 1 species